UUAUAAUUUUGAACAGCUUCGGACAAAUUAUAUUAAAAUAAAGUUUGAAUAACCAGCUAUUAAAUAUAUCAUUUGAACUUGCCAGGGUUAUCUCUAGUAAUCUCUAUUUGUCUGUUUUGAUUUCUGAGCAUAACCCCUGAAACGAUUUGCCUCAAAUAUUGGGUUGACUUUUACAGGAAAAACUCCAGGUAAAAUUGGGUUUCCAAGCUAGCUUAUAUAAAUAUUAUGUAGAUAGUAAUGUGUUUUUUGAAAAAGGUUGAAAAAUGAUGAUUCAUGAAUUCUUUUCAGAUGCUCUGUCGAGAAUGCAUUCAUAUAUAUCAAUCUUCACGGAUGCACAAAAUUAAGCCAGGAUAUUUAUCAAGAGGAAUGGAAGAUAUGGAGAAAGAAGAAUGAAGAAGGAGUAAAGAAGAAUGAAGAAGGGGGCCGCGGGGCGGAAACUUUUUAGAAGAAAAUACAAGCAAGCAUCUUAGAAAUCCCGGAUACAGAAAUAAGUAUCCUAGAUAUGAAAUUAAACAUCUUAAAUAUCCUUGUUGUAUCCUGGAUAAAUUGCAAAAGUCUUUAAUAUCUUAGAUACAGAAUAUAGUAUCCUGGAUAAAAUAGUCAAUAUCUUAUACAAAAAAAAACAUAAUUGAGAACAACAACAACUACUUUAUCGGGAAAUUAAAAUUUUUUACUUAACCAGGGGUUUGCCCACAAAACAUCCAGAGCGCAACGAACUUGGUCUUGGGAACCCCGGAUAAAUCAACUUCCCUUAAUUUGCCUGUAAAGUAGUUGUAACUAAUUAUAAAACCACAUUAUUAUUAUUUACAUUGGAGUCAGCCUUAUAUCUUAAA